rnacentral:rRNA from 1 species
CCUACGGGAGGCAGCAGUGAGGAAUAUUGGUCAAUGGGCGCAAGCCUGAACCAGCCAAGUCGCGUGAAGGAAGACUGCCCUAUGGGUUGUAAACUUCUUUUAUAAAGGAAUAAACAUGAGUACGUGUACUCAUUUGUAUGUACUUUAUGAAUAAGGAUCGGCUAACUCCGUGCCAGCAGCCGCGGUAAUACGGAGGAUCCGAGCGUUAUCCGGAUUUAUUGGGUUUAAAGGGAGCGUAGAUGGGUUGUUAAGUCAGUUGUGAAAGGUUGCGGCUCAACCGUAAAAUUGCAAUUGAUACUGGCAGCCUUGAGUACAGUUGAGGUAGGCGGAAUUCGUGGUGUAGCGGUGAAAUGCUUAGAUAUCACGAAGAACUCCGAUUGCGAAGGCAGCUUACUAAACUGCCACUGACAUUGAUGCUCGAAAGUGUGGGUAGCAAACAGGAUUAGAUACCCCGGUAGUC